GACGAACGCUGGCGGCGUGCUUAACACAUGCAAGUCGAACGGAAAGGCCCUGCUUUUGUGGGGUGCUCGAGUGGCGAACGGGUGAGUAACACGUGAGUAACCUGCCCUUGACUUUGGGAUAACUUCAGGAAACUGGGGCUAAUACCGGAUAGGAGCUCCUGCUGCAUGGUGGGGGUUGGAAAGUUUCGGCGGUUGGGGAUGGACUCGCGGCUUAUCAGCUUGUUGGUGGGGUAGUGGCUUACCAAGGCUUUGACGGGUAGCCGGCCUGAGAGGGUGACCGGGCACAUUGGGGCUGGGGUACGGCCCAGACUCCUACGGGGGGCAGCAGGGGGGAAUUUUGCACAAUGGGCCGGAGCCUGAUGCAGCAACCCCGGGGUCGGGAAGACGGGCUUUGGGUUGUAAACCGCUUUCGGCUGGUACCAAGCGGUGGUGACGGUAAUGGGUGAAGAAGCACCGGCUAACUUCGUG
rnacentral:rRNA from 1 species